rnacentral:rRNA from 1 species
UGGGGAAUCUUGCGCAAUGGGGGAAACCCUGAUGCAGCGACGCCGCGUGAACGAUGAAGCCCUUCGGGGUGUAAAGUUCUUUCGACAGGAACGAUAAUGACGGUACCUGGAGAAGAAGCUGCGGCUAACUACGUGCCAGCAGCCGCGGUAAUACGUAGGCAGCGAGCGUUGUUCGGAGUUACUGGGCGUAAAGAGUGCGUAGGCGGCGAGCCAAGUUUGGUGUGAAAUCUCCCGGCUUAACCGGGAGGGUGCGCCGAAAACUGGUUGGCUGGAGUAUGGGAGAGNAAAGCGGAAUUCCUGGUGUAGCGGUGAAAUGCGUAGAUAUCAGGAGGAACACCUGCGGUGUAGACAGCUUUCUGGACCAAAACUGACGCUGAGGCACGAAAGCGUGGGUAGCAAACA